UCCCUGGAGGGCUACUCGGUAGGCCUCGGCAUGCUCACUGCCACGGCCCGGGUUCAAUUCCCAGCCAGGGAA